rnacentral:rRNA from 1 species
AACGAACGCUGGCGGCAUGCCUAACACAUGCAAGUCGAACGAAGCCUUCGGGCUGAGUGGCGCACGGGUGCGUAACGCGUGGGAAUCUGCCCUUUGGUUCGGAAUAACAGUUGGAAACGACUGCUAAUACCGGAUGGUGACGAAAGUCCAAAGAUUUAUCGCCAGAGGAUGAGCCCGCGUAGGAUUAGCUAGUUGGUGUGGUAAAGGCGAACCAAGGCGACGAUCCUUAGCUGGUCUGAGAGGAUGAUCAGCCACACUGGGACUGAGACACGGCCCAGACUCCUACGGGAGGCAGCAGUGGGGAAUAUUGGACAAUGGGCGAAAGCCUGAUCCAGCAAUGCCGCGUGAGUGAUGAAGGCCCUAGGGUUGUAAAGCUCUUUUACCCGGGAUGAUAAUGACAGUACCGGGAGAAUAAGCCCCGGCUAACUCCGUGCCAGCCGCCGCCGUAA